GGGAACGGCGGCCGCUGGCACGGCGGACAUUUGCCAUGCGCAAACAACAGGCACUUGGGCAAACAAUUUAAGCUCUCCGCAGCCUGCUGGAAACUCGCUGGCGGGGCUUUUUUUAUGAUUAUUUUUAUUUAUUUAUUUUCCUCCUUGCAUCUCUUCCCACCUUGUUUAUAAGCGACGCUAUCUGGCCGGCACCGCUCCCUCAGUUUUUAUUAUCUCUUCCUCCCAGAGGGCCCGUUAUCGUUCCCUCCUUCGCUGGGUUCCUCUGGGCUCCCUCCGGCUUCUCCCCGGCCCUCCAUCCCGUUCCCCACGGGUGACAGUCCCACCACCUUCUCAGUCUUUCUCCCUGUUUCUUCCCAGGCCCUGCUGAGCCUCUCUCCUUCCACAAAUCCCAUUUACUCUUUUCCAGGUGAGCUUUUCCCAGCUGGAUGCCCCCAAAGUGCUAAACUCCAGCUGUCCUUCUUCCAGCAGCGAGUCCCUUCCCCUCUGAAGACAGCACACUCUCAUUUACUGGUGUGAAGGAUGGUGAAACGGGACUGAAGAAGACAUCUGACUUGUCCAAUCCCUCCUUAGGAAGUGUAGAAGAGAACAUUCUUCUCAGCUGCACCUGAGGUUUCACCUGCGGGGCUGCAACUCCGAUGCUGUCUAGGAGUACAGGUGACCCCUAUUACUCCAACCAGAGCAGAUACAUCUGAGCAAUUUAGCAAUGAUGUGACACACACGACGUGGAAGGCAUUGAGAAACCUGCUUAGACCAGGAGACACCAAGUUCAUCGCUUUGCCCCAGCCUUGGACUUCUCCUUGAAAACCAGACCCGUGGGCAGGGCUUCUGGAGAGAUGAGCAUCUUCUUAAACUCAUCCGGCCCACAAACCAUCCCACAGCCCACCUCCUUCCCCGAAACAAGCCACCUGCCUUGAUAACCACGGAAACUGCAGCAACGCAGCGGCACCAACUUGACUUUUUCCCAGCAAGACAACGCACGGCAGCGAUGAUUUUGUGGGUGGAUGUCUCUCUGUCGGAGAGAACGAAGCUUCAGGUGGUCUGAGCCCACAGCCCACCACUUCUGCUCCACUCGGCAUCCUUAGGAGAGGAUGGACACAUAGAGUUUGGGGGGCUGAGGCAUUUUAAAAAUACUAUAUGGGGCUGAAAAAUGAACUGCCCGUUGAUAGGAAUGAAGGAUGCUCCUCGUGGCGAUGGGUGCUGCUGCAGCAGCGUGGGGCUGAGGGCAGGGAUGUCCUGGGCUGGCCGGGCUGCCCCCGUCCACCUCCUGCUCUGCAGCAGCUCCAGGCGAAGAGCUGGCAAACGCCACGCUCCAAAAGGUCUCCCUUUGAUAAAGCCUUACAUCAAUCAGCAGACACAGCUGAAGAAACCUCUCAGUAGGCUGUAAAUGUUGUAUUUAGUGUUUCUGAGCGUAGCGCAAUCUCAAAGCUUCAUUUAGCAAAAGCAGCCAAAUCUACCGUGGUGUCGGACUGUGGUGCCGGACAACUUUUAUUUACAGCAAAUAAUAACUGUUUUUAAUUAGCUGUAUUUACACCAAAGAUGUCAACGUUGAGCUCUCUAAACUAAAAGGACAGAACAUCCUUAGCGGGGAAAUGUGAUUUUUGAAGCCUGACAACUUAAAACCAGCGGGAAGAUUUUAGCUCGGGCCGCCUGGGGAGAAAAAUCACCUUUGGCUCAACAAAACAGGAAGGAUUUCGAGGCCCCAGCAGAAGUUUUUCAAGAAACGAAUGAAAAUGGAGGAUUAAACUGUUUUGCAAUCGCUGGCCUCAAUCCUGCAGACACUUUUCACACGCACUUAACUUUAUCUACGUGCUCAGUUUUGCUGACCCGCAUGGGACUGUUUGCACGUGGAGACGAGUAUAUUCUGCCUGCCAUGAAGAGGGGUUGUUGAACCCCCCUGAACCAGGAAUCAAUCACCUCUGGGAGCUGCAGCAGUGCUGCUGAUCGGCCGGGUUCUGUGUCGAAGCCAAACUGCCACGGAGCUGACUCACAUUUUGGCAUUUUGUGUUUAUAAACGAGAUGACGAUGUUUGCAAGCAAUGGGAAAAAAAAAAAACA